AUGGAUGAGCAAGAUGAUAAAAGUACAAAGGCUGAGCUGAAACUAUGUGGUGACAUAGCUGUUAAGAGGAAGAAUUACCGUGGCGCGUCAGCAUUCUACAGCGAGGCAAUUGAGCUGGACCCUAAUGAUGCGACGCUGUACGCAAACAGGAGCCUUUGCUACCUGCAAAUGACUGAAGCAGAUAAGGCUUUGCAUGAUGCUAACACCUGCAUAAAACUGCGUCCUGAAUGGUUAAAAGGUUACUACAGGAAAGGAUCUGCUCUUAUGUCGCUCAAGGAGUACAAAGAAGCAUGUGAUGCGUUCGAAGCCGGACUGAAACUGGACCCUGGAAACACCGAGUUGGAGAAAGUAUUCCAGGAGGCAGUUGAGGCGAUGAAAAAGGAUGACUUGGCCAGAAAAAGAGAAAAUGCUUCAAGCCAUCCAGCUAGAGAAAAACAGGCACGCAAGGGGCGCGGCCGCAACACCCACUGA
rnacentral:rRNA from 1 species